GGAAGCUGUCUGCAGUUUGACAUGGGAUUACAGCAAUGCAGGCAAUCAAAAAAUUGCACUUGCUGCCAAAUUUUCACUCUUAAAGAGAGUCCACCCCACUCUUAACAGCGCUGUUCCUCCAGCCCAACCUAGAUGGCGAGAGAACCUGAAGCCCCACAGCAUACACUGCAGAGCUAGCUUCGUAACAGAGAGCCAGAAAGCAUAAGUGAUAACAGCUUGGCAUAAUACCAGAAUUAAAGUAUACGACUGUAAUACUUGUAACUCUUUCAGACUGUCCUUUCUGCCCUUGCUAGCUUUAUUAUGAGUAAAAUGGGGUUUAGAGGGGAAUCAGCAGUACUUCCACGAAAAGCUGCUCAUGGACAGCAAGCUGUAUUUUCCACAGGUGGCCACAUUGAAUCUCCACCCAGAAUCCCACCAGCACGCUCACACAAUGGUUUCCAGUGACACUGAGCCCAGAACUUCCUCCUGGGUGGCCACAGAUGCAUUAUUUGUUUUCUGAGUCAUUAAAGGGGAAUCCAAAGGCAGAGCUUCACUGGCAAAUGAGUUUCAACAAGUCUGAAGGCAGGGGACAGAGAAGCAGCAGAGAGCUGGCACGUCCUUGCUCCCCAGCAUCUGGGUGGACAAAAGUAAAAUGGCAAACUACUUCACAAAUGCUGGCCUUGGUUAACAGCCACAGUGCUGAGUGCAAACUUCUGCUGAAAACACCAUGGAUGCGGGUUGUACAUCUCCUGGCCCCUUUGAAGUGGGUUGCCUCCCAGCACAACCAGAGGAAGUGAUCUUGUGGUGCUUAUAUGUGUAAUUGACUGCAAUUAACAACUCAGUGAGACAAGCUGUGAAAAGAUCUUAGUACUAUAUCACAGUCCACCAAGAUGCUGAUUAAUACCAAUACUAUUUAAAUCUUCUUUUAACAGGGUUUUAUUUGCUAGUGUUUCAUCUCCCUUAACAAAACAAAGACAAUUUUAGUUUAUGACUUACCCAGAUCUCCUGUGUUGUACAGCAGGAUUUGAAGGAUAUACUAAUGUUCCUGAGUUUAAUUUUUCAGCUAUGCUUAUCUCAUUUCCUUCAGACUAUCUGAUUUCCUGAAGAAACUGAAACAUUGCAAUUUGGAAAUAAGUCUACUUCUUUCAUUUGUUUGGUAUGCAUCCACAAAAAUUAGCACUCAUUACAGCCUUCAGCCAAUUUGUUUGACCUCAGCAGCUGAGUUGGUCUUUGGAGGUAGCUACUAUCUAGAAAUGCUGCCAAUAGAAAAUGUAUUUGGUAUGUUUAUUUCCAGACUCAUAUCUUAAAACCAUGGUGUUUGUCAAUUCAAAGGAGAGAAGAUGCUGCCCUUCUUUCAGAUUCAGCCUGGAUGCCAUGGGCAUUCAGAGCUUUGGUGCUGGUGAUGCCUGAAGUGCUGUCAGCUGCAACAGAGGAAGUCAAACAAAGGCACAAUUAUCGACCUGUUUACUGGUCACCUAUUAAAACUGGGAGUUUCUGUUGAUUUGGAAUGGAGAAGACAAUCCCAGAUACCCACAAAUUAUGAGGCUGCAUCUAAAUUGCAUUUGACUUCUUCUUUGAAAAAGCUUAAUGUGAUUUGUGUUAAUUUCCUUGUUUUGGCUACCUGAGGCAUUCUACAGUAAACACGCUUCCAAAAUGAAAAAGUAGUUGGAAGGUAUGAUACAUUUCCUUCCCCAGACUUAACAAUGACUUCUUGCCCUGGGAAAAAAAUACCUACUCUUCACAAUUGUUUAUUUCAUCGGUAAUUAGACAUAAAAAGUGAAUGUUCUGUCAGGAAAU
ensembl:lncRNA